CCUGGAACUCAGGUAGGGUGAUUGCUACUGUUGCUGAAUUUGUUUAUGGGAACCCACAGUAGAGUAUGGGAGAAAGAUGCAGAGGCUGGAGGACAGCCAUGGGGAAUCAGGCUCGUCACCGUCAGAUCCACAACAGGAGCUAUGAGAAUCACACCACCCACCAGAGGCAGUGAGAAAAAGAGGAUGUGGGGCAAGUGGACUUGUGAAGAAAGGUUCUUUGGAGCAACUCCCGUCUGCAUUUUCAGGAAGUCAGCAAGCAGUUCAAUUGAUAGUUCAGCGGCGGCAGCUCAGUCCACUUUCAAACACUUCCUGGAUACACCAGAAGUCCAGUUUGGUGGAGUCGGGAUAGCAAACUCAAAUCAGCAGCAGUGGCAGGAACAGCUAGGCCUCAGCCAAAUCAGCACGAGGGCCCAGGAGGUAUGCCAGAAGUUCUCUGCUUGUGCCUCUCUCAGUAAAGCUGAGAUCCUUGAAGACUUGAGACCAACAAGCACUGCACAGCCGGCUGCACCAGCAAGCCAACCUUCACUGUCCUACACUUCCUCCAAAUAUCAUGAGUCCUCCAUGGGUCUUGCCACAGCACAUGUCUUGCCUCAGUGCGUGUGUCUGUCUCAGCUUACAUCACUCUGUCAAUCAGCCUGAGUCUGUGGAAGCCACAAGAAACUGCAGCAUGGCAGCAGCAGUUUUUAUUUUUUCUUUUCUUUUUUUUUAAAUAUUUAUUUAUUUUAUGCCUGUGAAUACACUGUUGCUCUCUUCUGAUACCUGAAGAGGACAUUGGAUCCCACUACAAAUGGUUGUUGUGAGCCACCAUGUGGUUGUUGGGAAUUGAACUCAGAACCUUUGGAAGAGCAGACAAUGCUCUUAACCACUAAGCCAUCUCUCCAGCCCCAGGAGCACAAGUUUUUUUGGUGCAUUUCUCUUUGUGGAGUCCUGACAAAUGUCUGCUUCAGCGAAAUGUUCUUUCGUGUGUCUGCUUUAGCAAAAUGUCCUCUCACCUGUGUCUGCUUCAGGAAAACACUCCCUCACAUGUUUGCCCCAGCAAACCCCCAUGUGACACAACUGACUUUCCAAAGAACCCUGAAGUUUCCACUUCACUUGACACUCUCUUGAAACUCAUUAUCCAUUCUGCUAUCCCAACAGCAGCGAUUGUUGAAAAAAUUAACCAGCACGCAAUUGCUUUUCUCACUUAUUUAUACUCCAAACACAUUUGUUGGAUGUUUGCUAAGUGUGCAGUUACCUUAAAGGAACCCCGUGCAAGGUGAGCAGACUGGACUGGUUCUGCGUUCUUGUGCUCACAUCCUGAGGUAAGGGAGGCAGGACUUGUCCACCUGCCUGUGGUGACUGUAGGAGCCUCCUGAGCAAGAGCUGCAUCCUUGGCAGGAGUGGGGCUUCCGGUCUGCAUUUCUUUACCUUUCUGAGACCUCAGGAGAUCUGGCGGUGGAGACGCAGCACCUGCAUGGAACAGUGUAUGGUACGAAUGCUUCAGUGUUGGGACUCUGCUUUGGCAAGGCCCACAGAAACCCCUCUCCACUUGGUGAGGAUCUGUGGGGAAUUUGGUGGCCUCUAUUCCCCAAGUUGGCUUUGAUUGGGAAUAAAGUGGACAAAGGUGACUGGCUUGGCAUGGUGAAACAAGCAGGAGUUUUAGAUUGCAUAAGUAAAGACUGAGGUAGAAGGAGGAGAAGAGAAUUGCCAUGGCUCGGGGGCAGAAGGAUCAGAUGUAAGAGCUGCAAGAGAGAAAUCAUCCAGCAAUGACCUGAACCUUGUUGCUGGACCUGGCCAUUGGCAGAAAUCUUACCGGCCAUAGAGGCCAGAGCCCAUACUCACUGUGUCCAGAGGCUGUGUGUUGGUAUUCCUUCUCAGAUGGGAAGGGGUCCUGUGACUUGGGAGCCAGGGAACCACACAGUUCUCUUGGUGGGACAGAGUCCUAAUGGAAGGGUAACCUGAAACACAGAAGCCCAGGAACUAAACAGUUCUGAUGUGGGGCAUUGUUCUGAUGGAAGAGUAUCCUGAAACACGGGAGAUCUGGAACCACAUAGCUCUGAGAGGAAGCCUCGACAGCAGAGGUGUUACAUGGGAGAGUAUCAGGAGCUUCAUCCCUGCUCCACUUCUUAGCUUCUUCCCUUCUUUGCUUCUUUCAAUGACAGAGUCACAAGCAGCAGCAAAUCUUAUAAAAGAGAUUUAUUGGUAGGAUUGAAUCCAGGGCUUGGAGGGAUAAAUCUAGGGGUGGCUGCCUUUGCUCCCAGCAGAAGGCACCAGGGAACUGAACAGUAGGGAGCUUCUAUAGUAUUUCCUAGAGUAGAGAGCGUUUCCGUGGCUGAGCUUUUCAGGGUGAGGGUUGGAGAGAUUUCAAGUUCUGAGCAUGAGGAGCUCAGGGAUUGAUGGGUUUUCCUGUUUGGGGAUUGCUGGGAUUUUUCUUCUUGUAGGGCAGAGUCUGGACCCACUCCCACCUCAGGAUGAGAAUAGCAGUUACAGCCCUUAGAAAAUGAUCACUAGGGCCAUUAGGCCAGUCUGGGAGCAGGGCCUGCUUGCUGAUGCUCCUCAGGUUGGGGCCUGGCCACAUUCCUGCCUUGGGGGCAUACAAAGUUUACUCACAGUUGGUGUGAAUGGCCAACAGUGUGGGGUCAUAUUUUCCCUGUUGGAGAGGAGUGUAUUUGUCUGGCUUUCAAGUUACAGAGUCCUAAUGUCUGCUGUUCUGCUAGGUCUCUGGGUCUGCUUCCUUUGAGAUAGGAUACUCCGUCUAUCCCUGAGAUAGCUUUGCCUUACUCCUGUGUUCUACCUUGGUUUAUGCUCCAAGAAGCCUGGAUACUCUUGGUUUUGUUUCCAUUUUUCCAUUAUAGAAAACAAUUGUCUUUGGAGUACAGAUAAUAUUACAAAUCUAGAAAUGUAUGCUGUUUUAGCUAACCGAGAAGGCUGGCUCUGUUGUUAGGAUUUGGCAUCGGCAUCCACACAUCACAUCCAACCAUGUGUGACUCUAAGGUUCUUCUGUCCUGAGUCAGUGCCCCUGAGUCUGAGACAGGUGUUGAGGGGUGGUUGUGUGCACUGUUUUUUCAGAUGUUGAUUUCUAUGCCCAGAUGUCUGGUUGCAGUCUGAACAAUGGCAUGGUCAACCAUCUCCAAUAUCUACGUUAUAUAAAAAUUGUUUUCCAUCUG